CUACAUGUGAUUGCGCACAAAUUCUACCACAUCCAUAGAUGAUACCUGAAUUACACGGUUCCUAAUAUCAACCUUUUCUCUUUCCUUUCUUGUUCUGUACUCAACAUAUAGCAAAGCCUUUCUUCCUCCCUUUAAUCGUUAUAGUCCAAUGCCCCUUCUCCUGUAUCUUUUCCAAAAUCUCAGUCUUUUCGGCAGCUUUUUCCCUCUCUUUCAAUGCCUUCCCUGCUCCAUAAAAAAAGAAGAAGCACCCAAUAACAAAAUUACUUAAGUGAAUAAAAUGAAAUUACCUUGUGAAAAAAAUUAAUCAAAGAACCUGUUAAUUUGUUUUCAAGAUCCUACAGGAAAACAAGAUUAGGAUCAAUACAUAGCACAUCUUUCUAAUUAGAAAUUGUUUGAGUAAUGAACAAACAGGAUUCAAAUCUCUCUUACUUCUUCCCAAAAGACCAAGAAAUGAAAAAAAAAAUUUCCAAGAAAAGAACUAAUAUUAUUAUAACCGAACGCUGACCUUGGCAUCAGCAGCCAAGGUAUUAAACAACCAUUCAGGAGGAACAAAAUCCCAGUGGUGGAUACCACCGUUUUUACUGAACGUAAUGUAGAAAUUUGAAUUCUAUGAGAACUCAAUUUUCUGGGACUCAAAGUUACUGAAAUGAACUUUUUGCAGAAAAGCAGAGAUUCAGUGACAUACUUAUGUUAGAACACCAAGUUCAAUACAUUCCAGACUUAUAAUACAACAAAUAUUGUACGCUUUCAAUAGAAAAUCCUAAAGCUUAGAGCCAUUACCUUUUUUUUUGUUGCAAUUCCU
rnacentral:lncRNA from 1 species